AUGAAGGACAAGGAAUUCUUCUUCCAAUUUGGGACCUUCUUGGUUAGGGACGGUGCUCAGGUUCGUUUCAGGGAAGAUACCUGGCUGGGGAACACUCCACUAAUGGUGCAAUAUCCGAGCUUGUACCGGAUCGUCAGACAUAAAUUUGUCACGAUCAAACAAGUAUUAGGACAGGAAAACCCCGAUAUUUCUUUCCGUAGGGAUGUUUUGGGCACUCGUCUGACAGCAUGGAAUGAAUUACUCACUCGCCUGGAGGACAUUCAACUGUCAGAUGAGCCGGACACUUUUAACUUGCAUCAGAAUGGUAAAUUUUCGGUCAAAUCCAUGUAUGAUGCAAUGGUUCAUUGUGAUGUUCCUGUAGAUAACAGGAAAUUGUGA
rnacentral:rRNA from 1 species